GAUCAUGGCUCAGGAUGAACGCUGGCGGCGUGCCUAACACAUGCAAGUCGAACGAAGCACUUUGAUUUGAUUCUUCGGAUGAAGAUCAUUGUGACUGAGUGGCGGACGGGUGAGUAACGCGUGGGUAACCUGCCUCAUACAGGGGGAUAACAGUUAGAAAUGACUGCUAAUACCGCAUAAGACCACGGAGUCGCAUGACUCAGUGGGAAAAACUCCGGUGGU
rnacentral:rRNA from 1 species